rnacentral:misc_RNA from 1 species
GGGCGUUCCAGUACCACUGGAAUGACCUCCCUUGUAACAUUCCCCACCACUUCAUUUGCGAAGCGGCAGCAUUUGAAGCAAAUACCAUAAUAGGAAAGUGAAGAAUUUGACUCAUGAAAAUGGGAUUGACUUUAAUCAGCUUUUUUCUAUCGAGUACAAGAACUUUCUUUAAAAAAUGUAACCGUGUGAUUUCAUUAUAUGUCAAUCAUCGAGAGGAGCUGAAUAAACAGAGUAGCUGGUGCC